UCUGCUUCUCAGCCUUUUGGCUAAGAUCAAGUGUGUAUCUGAAGAACAAUAUCUGGGGAUUACGGACUAUAUAGUCCCAUUUUGCUUGUGGGCAUCCCAAAUGCAUCUGGUUGUCCACUGUGGGAAAAGGAUGUUGGACUAUGUUUAGUCUUAUCCUGCAGGCCUGC